ACGGAAGGCAGCAGUGAGGAAUAUUGGUCAAUGGACGGAAGUCUGAACCAGCCAAGUCGCGUGCGGGAUGAAGGCCCUACGGGUCGUAAACCGCUUUUGUACGGGGAUAAAGUCACCCACGUGUGGGUGUUUGUAGGUACCGUAAGAAUAAGGAUCGGCUAACUCCGUGCCAGCAGCCGCGGUAAUACGGAGGAUCCGAGCGUUAUCCGGAUUUAUUGGGUUUAAAGGGUGCGCAGGCGGGAUGUCAAGUCAGUGGUGAAAUGGUGCGGCUCAACCGUAGCAUUGCCGUUGAAACUGGCGUCCUUGAGUGCGAAUGAGGUACGCGGAACGUGUCAUGUAGCGGUGAAAUGCAUAGAUAUGACACAGAACACCGAUUGCGAAGGCAGCGUACUGGGACGCGACUGACGCUGAGGCACGAAAGUGCGGGGAUCGAACAGGAUUAGAUACCCUGGUA
rnacentral:rRNA from 1 species